rnacentral:rRNA from 1 species
GACGAACGCUGGCGGCGUGCUUAACACAUGCAAGUCGAACGGGCGCCUUUUGGGGGUUAGUGGCGAACGGGUGAGUAACACGUGGGGGAGCUGCCAUGCACUGUGGGAUAAGCCUGGGAAACGGGGUCUAAUACCGGAUAGGACCCUGGGAUGCAUGUCUUGGGGUGGAAAGCUUUUGGGGUGUGGGAUGGGCCCGCGGCCUAUCAGCUUGUUGGGGGGGUGAUGGUGUACCGGGGCGACGAAGGGUGGCCGGCCUGAGAGGGUGUCCGGCAACGCGCGGACGGAGGGACGGCCCAGACGCAUACGGGAUGCAGAGGGGGGGAAUAUUGCAAAAUGGGCGCAAGCCUGAUGCGGCGACGCGGCGUGGGGGAUGACGGCCUUCGUGUUGUAAACCUCUUUCAAUAGGGACGAAGCGCAAGUGACGGUACCUAUAGAAGAAGCACCGGCCAACUACGUGCCAGCAGCCGCCGUAACAC